rnacentral:lncRNA from 1 species
GGGCUGCAUGCAAAGAUGCUUAAUAAUAGUUUAAAAAAAAAAAAGAACAGUGCAACUCUGGGAGGCACUUAUUAUAUUCUAGUAUUAGUGUGGUAGCAGUGGUUAUGUGCAUGUGCACGCAUGAAAGCAUGAGUGUGAGUGUGUGUGAUGUGUAUGUAUGGUGAGUGUGUAUGUAUGUGUGUGUGGUUGUACGGUAUGUGGUGGUGAAUGUGUGUGUGUGUGUGUGGUGUAUGUAUAUGAGUGUGUGUGAUAUGUGAGUGGUGUGUGUGUACAUGCAUGAAUGCAUGAGUGUGCAUGUAUGUGAUAUAUGUGUGUAGUGGGUAUGUGAUGUCUAUAUGUGGUAUGUGUAUGUGUGUGUGUGUGUGGUG